rnacentral:rRNA from 1 species
GACAGGGGGUGCAAACGUUGCUCGGAAUCACUGGGCGUAAAGCGCACGUAGGCGGUCGUGUAAGUCGGGUGUGAAAGCCCUCGGCUCAACCGAGGAACAGCACCCGAUACUGCAUGGCUUGAGGACGGGAGGGGAGAGUGGAACUCUUGGUGGAGCGGUGAAAUGCGUAGAUAUCAGGAGGAACACCGGUGGCGAAAGCGACUCUCUGGUCCGUUCCUGACGCUGAGGUGCGAAAGCUAGGGGAGCAAACGGG